UGAACGCUGGCGGCAGGCCUAACACAUGCAAGUCGAACGGUAACAGAACUAGCUUGCUAGUUGCUGACGAGUGGCGGACGGGUGAGUAAUGCUUGGGAAUUUGCCUUUAGGUGGGGGACAACAGUUGGAAACGACUGCUAAUACCGCAUAGUAGCUACGGCUUAAAGGGGGCUUCGGCUCUCGCCUUUAGAGAAGCCCAAGUGGGAUUAGGUAGUUGGUGAGGUAAUGGCUCACCAAGCCCACGAUCCCUAGCUGGUCUGAGAGGAUGAUCAGCCACACUGGAACUGAGACACGGUCCAGACUCCUACGGGAGGCAGCAGUGGGGAAUAUUGCACAAUGGGCGAAAGCCUGAUGCAGCCAUGCCGCGUGUGUGAAGAAGGCCUUCGGGUUGUAAAGCACUUUCAGCGAGGAGGAAGGUUAAGUAGUUAAUACCUGCUUGACUUGACGUUACUCGCAGAAGAAGCACCGGCUAACUCCGUGCCAGCAGCCGCGGUAAUACGGAGGGUGCGAGCGUUAAUCGGAAUUACUGGGCGUAAAGCGUACGCAGGCGGCCAUUUAAGUCAGAUGUGAAAGCCCCGGGCUCAACCUGGGAACUGCAUUUGAAACUGGAUGGCUAGAGUGCGACAGAGGGUGGUAGAAUUUCAGGUGUAGCGGUGAAAUGCGUAGAGAUCUGAAGGAAUACCAAUGGCGAAGCAGCCACCUGGGUCGACACUGACGCUCAUGUACGAAAGCGUGGGUAGCAAACAGGAUUAGAUACCCUGGUAGUCCACGCCGUAAACGAUGUCUACUAGCAGUUUGGAGCUUAAGCUCUGUCUUGCGCAGCUAACGCAUUAAGUAGACCGCCUGGGGAGUACGGCCGCAAGGUUAAAACUCAAAUGAAUUGACGGGGGCCCGCACAAGCGGUGGAGCAUGUGGUUUAAUUCGAUGCAACGCGAAGAACCUUACCAUCUCUUGACAUCCAUAGAAUUUAGCAGAGACGCUUUAGUGCCUUCGGGAACUAUGAGACAGGUGCUGCAUGGCUGUCGUCAGCUCGUGUUGUGAAAUGUUGGGUUAAGUCCCGCAACGAGCGCAACCCUUAUCCUUAGUUGCCAGCACGUAAUGGUGGGAACUCUAAGGAGACUGCCGGUGACAAACCGGAGGAAGGUGGGGACGACGUCAAGUCAUCAUGGCCCUUACGAGAUGGGCUACACACGUGCUACAAUGGCAAGUACAAAGGGUUGCAAACUCGCGAGAGUAAGCGGAUCCCAUAAAGCUUGUCGUAGUCCGGAUUGGAGUCUGCAACUCGACUCCAUGAAGUCGGAAUCGCUAGUAAUCGUGGAUCAGAAUGCCACGGUGAAUACGUUCCCGGGCCUUGUACACACCGCCCGUCACACCAUGGGAGUGGGCUGCAAAAGAAGUGGAUAGCUUAACCUUCGGGAGGGCGUUCACCACUUUGUGGUU
rnacentral:rRNA from 1 species